UUGACAGCUGGCAGUGUCUUUGAUAUUGGAAGAUGUCAUUUGGAAAAGAGGGAACGACAGCAGAUCGGAGGCAGCUGUUCGCCGCCGUGGUAGUCCGUGAGCACAGCUGUGGGGUGGCGAUGAUUCCUCCUCCUACUAUGACAGGGUAGCCUGAAAGACUGAUGGGAGUUAGUCUUGUUGAACUGGCACAGUCUUCAGUAUGCAAGGAGCCCAUCGCAUCCUCAACCUAGAGCUCAAAUCCAAGGUUUGGCGACUGGACCAAAACAUCUAGAUGGUUAGGUGAGGGUGAAGAGGAUGGCUAAUCAAUUCUAGAAUGGACAGCUGGUGCGAAUCAAGGGGAAUAUGAAACAUCUUCCGCAUCUCUUGACUCACAUCUGGCCCCAACCCAGCGCCUUCUGAGUCUAGAAGACUUUACAUCUCACAGUUUCCUCUGCCGCCCCGCAGGCCUGCUUGGACAGCUCUGGCUUGCCGGCACAAAGGCCACGAAGCUGCAGAUCAACCAGUAAGAGAUGGGGCAGUGUCCAAGGAACCUCAGUGGACUCAGCCAGGAAAGCUGAGCAGAAGCCUCAGGUAUUUGUACACACAUGUUCAUAACAGCAUUAUUCACCGUAGUCAAAAGGUAGAAACAA
rnacentral:lncRNA from 1 species